rnacentral:lncRNA from 1 species
UGAUACUUCUACACUCUUGACAGAUAAAUUCAUUUUUUUAUUUUUUUUAUUUUAGGUAUUUAAACGUCACUUUUAAGCACUACAGUUAGGCUAUUUUGUGGCGGCCAGUUUUUAUUCGUGGAGGAAGCCUGAGUGCCAGGUGAAGACCAUGACCUUCGAUAGAAAAACUGACAAUCCUAGUCAAUUAAGAUUGGAGUCGAAUGCACCUGCACAAGCAGAGUUCAAACUCACAACCUCAGUGUUGACUGGCUAGUGAUUACAAUAGUAACUACUUAAAUCACUCGGCCACGGAGGCCCUAGAUAAAUUUUAAAUCUACAGUGGAGACAUA